GCUUCAGUUUCUUUUUUCUUUUGUCUUAAAGGUUUCAUAACAAGUCUUUCAUUUGCUUGGCUAGAAUUAUUCCAUUUUUUGUUUUGUUUUGUUUUGUUUGUGCUUUGUUUUGUUUUGUUUUGUUUUGUUUUCUGAGACAAGGUUUCUCUGGGUAUCCUUGGCAGUGCUAGAACUCGCUUUGUAGACCAGGUUGUCCUGGAACCCAGAGAUCUGCCUUCCUCUGCCUCCCAAGUGUUGGGGUUAAAGAUGUGUGCUACCAUGGUCAGGCUGAAAGUAGUAUGAAGUAGUACGAUUUUUGAUUGUUUGGUUUUCAUUUGUUUGUUUGUUUGUUUGUUUGUUGAGAUAGGAUUUCUCUGUUAACCCUGGCUUUUCUAGAGCUCACUUUACAGCUUUGGACAAACUCACAGAGGUCCUCGUUCUCCUCCUUCUCUUCCUCCUCCUCUUCCCCUUCAUCAUCUGUUGUCUUACUGCUCUAGCUAAGACAGCAAGCACUUGUUACGUCGAUCUGAGGAAGAGUGGGCAGCCUUGUCUUGUUCCUGAUUUUAGUGGGACUGCUUUGAGUUUCACACCAUUUAUGUUGAGAUUGGAUAUGGAUGUGCAGCAUAUUGCCUUUAUUAUGUUUGCAUCCCUAAUCUCUCCACAAUUUUAUCAUGAAGGGGUAUUAGAUUUUUGUCAGAGUCCUAUUCUUUGUCUAAUGAGAUGACUGUGUGGUUUCUGUCUUUCAGUCUGCUUAUGUGGUAGAUUACAUUUAUUGAUUUACAUAUGUUGAACCACACCAGCAUAUCUGGGAUGAAGCCUAUUUGAUCAUGGUGGAUAAUCUUUUUUUUUUAAUUGAAAAUAGAUUCAUACAAUACAUCCCAACUACAGUUUCCACCUCCCCGACUCCUCUCAGAUCCCUCACACACUCACCUCCCCACUACCACAGGUCCACUCCCCCUCCAUUUCCUCUUCAGAAAAGAGCAGGCCUCCAAGAGAUGACAACCAAGCAAGGCAAAAGCCCUCAUCGAGACUGGACAAGGCAACCCAUUAAGGUAUAAAGAGUCCCAAGAGCAGGCAAAGAGUCAGAGAUAUGCUCUCUCCCAUUGUUAGGAGUCCCACAGAAAACACCAAGGUAACAUAUGCAGAAGACCUGGUACAGACCCAUGUAGGCCCCAUGCUUGCAACUCCAGUCUCUGUGAGCCUAUGUGAGCCCUGCUUAGUUGAUGCAGUGAGCCAUGUUCUCCAGAUGUUCCUCAUCCUCUGUGACUCCUAUAAUCUUUCCUUCUUCUCUUCCAUGGGGUUCACCAAUCUCUGAUGGAAGAGGCCCCUAGAGACCUCCAAUUUAGACUCUCUCUGUGUAAUGUCUGGUUGUGGGGCUCUGUGCUUGCUCCCAUCUGCUGUGGGAGGAAGCCUCUAUGAAGGUGACUGGGCUAUACAAAGAAUCAGUGAAGCAAAGAGAAAAUCAACAAGGUAGACAAACCCCUAUAAGAUGGAGAAAGGAUGUCUAAAUUAAUAAAUUCAAAAGCAAUGGUCUGGAAAGAUGGCUCAUCUGUUAAAGGCUAGGCUCCCAACCAAAAAUAAAAUCCGAAAAAGGGGCUGGGGGACCUAACAACAGGCAUUGAGGAAAUUCAGGGAAUCAUAAGGACAUACUUUAAAAACUAUGCUCCACCAAAAUUUGAAAAUCUAAAAGAAAUGGAUAAUUUUAUUAUUAGGUACCACUUGCCAAAGUUAAAUCAAUAUCAGAUAAAUAAUUUAAAUAGACCUAUAAUACCUAGUCAAAGAGAAGCAGUCAUUAAAAUCUUCCAACCCCCCCCCCAAAAAAAGAUUCUCGGGGGCCAGAAGGUUUUAGCACAGAAUUUUACCAAACUUUCAAAAAGACUUCACACCAGUACCUCAAAUUAUUGCACAAAAUCCAUACAGAAGGGACAUUGCCAAACAUUUUAUGAGGCCAUGGUCACCCUGAUGCUGAUACCCAAAUCACAUAAAGACUCAACAAAGAAAGGGAAUCACAGACCAAUUCCCCUUAUGUGUAUAGAUACAAAAAUAUUCAGUAAGAUGCACACACAUGGAAUCCAAAAUGAUAGUGGAUAAUCUUUUAAAUAUGUUCCGAUAUUUGAUCUAUGAGUUUUUCAUUGAGAAUGUUUGCAUCUUUGCUCAUAAGGGAAAAUGGUCUGUAAUUUUCUUUCUUUGUUGGGUCUUUGUAUGGUUUAUGUAUCAGGGUCAUUGUGGUCCCAUAAAAUGAGUUAGGCAAUGUUCCAUCAGUUUCUCUUUUGGAAAAUGAUUUGAAGAGUAUUGGCAUUAAUUCUUCUAUGAUAGCCUGGUAGAAUUCUAUGCAGAAUCACUCUGGCCCUGGGCUUUUUUUUGGGGAGUGGGGGAAGGAAGCUAGGCAAAUUUUAAUUACUGAUUGUAUUUCACUAGGGGUCAUGGGUCUCUUUAAAUUGCUUAUCUGAUAUUUAUUUAAUGUCAGUGGGUCAUAUCUAUUAACAAACUUUUAUCCAUUUUCUUUUAGUUUUCCAAUAUGAUAAUAUGCAGAUUUUUAAACUAUAUCUUUAUGAUUCUCCUGAUUUUCUUGAUGCAUGUUGUGAUCUCUCUAAUUUUAUCUGUUUGGAUCUUCUCUCUCUCUUUUAGUUAAUUUGACUAAGGAUUUAUUAAUGUUAUUGAUUUCCUCAAAGAGCUAACUCGCGAUUUCAUGGAUGUGUAGCACUAUUUAUUGUUGUUUCUUUGUUGUUGGCUUCAUCCUCAAGUUUAACUAAUUUGUACCAUUUACUCCUUUUGGCUAUUUGCUGUUCUAGACCUUGUAGGUAUGUUGUUAAGUUUCUAAUAUGAGAUCUCUCUAAAUUUUUUGUGUAGGCACUUAGUGCUAUAAACUUGCCUCUAAAAACUACCUUCAAUGUGUCCCAUUGGUUUGGCAUGUUAUGUUUUUAUUUAUAUUCAAUUCUAAAAAAUUUGAGAUUUCCUUCUUGACUUGUCUUGACUCAUUUCUUCAUUCCAUAGUGGGUUAUUCAGCUUGUAUUCAUAUACUUUCUUUUGUUUUGUAGUUGUUGGUAUCCAGCUUUAAUACAUGGUGGUCAGAUAGGAUGAGUGGUGUUUUUAAAUUUUCUUAUAUCUGCUAAGAUUUACUUUGUGUCCAAGUAUUUGGUCAAUUUUGGAGACAUUUCCAUGGGCUGAUAAGAAGAAAGUACAUUGUGUAUGUGUGUGUGUGUGUGUGUGUGUGAGAGAGAGAGAGAGAGAGAGAGAGAGAGAGAGACAGAGAGAGAGAGAGAGAGAGAGAGAGAGAGAGAGAGAGAGAGAGAGAAAUGUUCGGUAGAUGUCUGUUAGGUCUGUUUUAUUUGUGGCAUUAUUUAACUCAGGCAUGUCUCUGUUUAGUUUUUGUCUGGAUGACCUGCCUAUCUGUGAAGGUAUCAGAAUCUCCCCUUGUCAGUGUGUAAGAGUCAAUGUGUGAUUUUAGAUGGACUGAUGUUUCUUUUUAUUUAUUUGAUGCCCUAGUGUUUAGUAUAUAAAUGGUUAUAAUUGUAAUGUACUCUUGGUGGAUAUUUUCCUUUGAUGAGUAUGUAGUGUUCUUCCCUCCCUCUCUGAUUAAUUUUGAUGUGAAGUCCAUUUUGUCAGUUAUUAAAGUGGCUACACCUGCCUGCUUCUUAGGUCCGUUUGCUUGAGCCUGGCUAAAGUCCCUUCUCAGGUAACGAGAUGUUUUCUUUAUAAUUUCAAAUACUGUAAGAGGAUUAGGGUGUGCAAAGCCCUUUGGAACUGAGCUUUUCAUCCUCCCAGCUCAGAGCACCAUCGUUCUGCAGGGAACCUGCUCCUCCAAUGGUGUGCAAUCCCAUCCUGGGGAAUGUCUUAUUCCAUAGGGAAGCUGGAAUGCCUUUAGAAAGAAGCAUUUACUCCAAGCAGGCUUCACACCACAGGUGGCCUGCCCACUCUGUCCCAGCUGUAGCCUUCACCCUACACAGAUACUACUCCCGAGGCUGUUUGCCCAGCUUCACACAUCUCAAAGUCUCAGAAUCUGUUUCCUAGGGAACCUCACAUCCAACAUAGCCUGUGCCUACAUUCUUAGAAGCAAUUGUGAUGGCUUCCAAGUUUAUUAAUGUCAUUAAUUGUAGGCUGAACACAAAACUCUCAUAGUUAUAUGAGUUUCCCUGAUGACCUUUGCCCUUUUGUCUGAUAUUUUGCUUAUUUCUCAAAUGAAGGUAGCUAAAUGACCUCGGUGCUGUAUUGGUCACUGUUUCCAAUUGUACCAACAUGGUCAUUUCCUAAACAAUGGGAGGAGAUAGCAGGCAAACAGUGUUUCCCAACUUCUCUAGAAGUUGGCUUGGGACUGAAGACACUGUAUUGGUUCCCCAAGGGUGCCAUAAAAAGUUACCACAAAUUUGCAUCUUAAAACAGCAGUUCUCUGGGUCAGAGGUAUGAAAUUAAGAUGUUGACAGAGGUCCUGAAGGAGAAUUGAGAUCUGGUCUCUUUCCUGGCUCUGGUAGUUGGCUGCCUGCAAACUAGAAGCAUUCAUUCCCUGAGUUCUCAUCUCUCCAGGUCCAGCCUUUUCCCACCAGCUAUGUUUCCUUUGUAUUAUCUUUGCACAGCCUUCCCUCUUUAGAGAAUGUCGUAUCUACUCUGCUAUGAUUUCUUUCAUUAUCCUAAUUAAUUGCUUCUGAAAAGCCCUUGCAUCCAUCAGCUUUUGGUUGCUGUAACAAAAUAGCUGAGGAAAGUUAUAGAAAGAAAGUGUAUUGGCUCACAGUUUCAGGUGUCUCAGUCCAUGUCCUUGGCUCACAGUUUCAGGUGUCUCCGUCCAUGUACUUGGCUCAUGAUUUCGUAUGUCUCCACCGAUAUUGCCAGUCCCAUUGCUGUGACCUGCGGUGAAACAGAGGUUACAACCAGGAGCAUGUGGUACAGCCAAUCUGGGUGCCAUGGAGGCAAGAAUGUAGGACAAGAAAAUAUGUCCUUUAAAAGACACUCCUAGUGGCCUUCUUCUUCCAGCUAGGCCACUUUAUGAAGGCCUACUAAGAAGUUCCACCACCUCCUAGUAGCCCAUUAAGCCAUGAAUUAAUCAGUGAGUUAUACCACUGAGCUUAAAGCCUUAUGAUUUAAUUACCUUCUGAAAGCCUCACCUCUGGGAAUCAGUGCUUCAACACUGAGACUGUGUUGGGGAAGUUUUCAAAACCAAAGUGUUAAGACUGUAUUUUCAAACAAGAGGCCAAUCUUAGAUUCAGUCUUAGAUUCUGCUGGUUGGGAAUUUGGGGAAAAUACCCAAUUUACCACAGACCAAAGGAAAAGUAUCCAAGAUUUAUCUACUUCCUUCUUGAUACCUAUAUUCAUGCUGUUGAUAUCUUAAUUGUCCUCUUCUAGUCUUUAAAGAAAGCACACUAAUCCAGAUGUGUGCAGUGGGCCACGCCCAGUGACAGAGGCUCCUUGUGGCUUAAACAAUUAGAUAAUUACUAUCACCAAGAGAGAGUUUGUAAAGCGGCCUUAGUGAAACUAGGGUAGGGAUCGUUACACAGACUCUGACCAUUAAUUUUUAGUCAUACUGAAGCAGAGCUUUGGGAUUAAUACAAACCAGCUUUGGGGAGAGGUUUUAUUCACUCUCUAAUACAAGUUGUGAUGAGGUAGCUGAAUGCAUAGUGAAAUUAUGUGAGGAAAAGCUACAAAGGAGGCUGCUUCAAUAUAUUUAGUCUUGACAUAUAAGGAUUCUACACUUCAGGCCAUGAGCAAGUGUGACAAAUGCCACCUUGCAGGAUCCAUUGAGCCCAGGAAUGACGUAUAUGCCCACAGGAGAAUCACAUGACCUUUUAGAAGAACCCUCUUCCUCUGUCAUCUUUCAUCAUCUGUUUCUAUCUAAACCCACUUCCCUAUAAAUCAAGGACAUUUGAAUUUAACUAAUAAUAGAGAGUGGGCAGGCAAGGGGAGGCUUCCUGGGCCAGCCAGGGGUAUUGAGAACACACCUAAGAAGCAGUUGCUAAGCAUGUCUACCCGUAGAAUCCUUCCCUCUCAGCUGUGCAAGCAGGAAGGUCCCUGUGCCAUAUGUAUGUGUAGGAGGCUUCAUCUCGGGGCUUUGUAACAUUUGCAUUGACGACUGACCAUCUUCCCUACUGUUGCAUGAUGUCUGAUUGGAACUCACUUCCUGCUUUAAGACACUAGAACAUUGGUUUCAUCCAUUGAGACCAUGUCUGAGAGGAUAAAAGCAUCC
rnacentral:lncRNA from 1 species